rnacentral:lncRNA from 1 species
GCUUAGAAAUGUUUACCUAGUUGAAUGGUAUAAGUGAAGUUGUUAUGAAUUGGAUAGUACAUUGUGAUAUUGAUAUGUUUUGUAUUGGUUGGUGUUUGAAAUGGUAUAAAUGAUGCUUUAUUGAGAGUAGUUGAAUGCCUAUAUGUGUCAUGUUUUGUGCCUGUAACAGGUCCAUUUUGCCCGGGCCCACAUAAAAAUAAAAUAAAAAAACAAAGCAAAAAAAUUUAAUUGUCCUAAGCCCGUUCACAAAUAAAGGCCCAAAUUUAUUAAUAGUCCAAGUCCUUCAGAUAAAGCCCAAUUUCCAACCCAAAUAAAAUAAGCCCGAUUGGCCCAACACAUUUGGAGUCUCUGGAAACCCUUGCACUGCAGCCUUAGUAGCGACUUCUUCACUACUCUAUACGACAUUAGAACCUGCGAGAAGGAAGAAAAUAGCAAUAACCGAAUCCAGUAAAUUGUAUAGCUGGAAAAAGAAAAUAAUUUUUGAUUACUUUGUUAUUUCAUUAGAUUUGGCUAUAAAAGCCAAAUGAAAAUACUGUAAAAUAGAUCUUCUUAUUUUCCUGGCAAGAUACCCGCACGUUGAAAAAGCAAUAGAAAAAAAAUCAAAAGAGGUGAUUCAAGUUUUUAGUUUCUUUCUUUUAAUUUUGAGAUCUUGUUUUUUCUUUUGGAAUAUUUUUUUUCCUUUUCUUUUCUCUUAUAUUUUGCAUGAAGUGAAUAAAAAAAGGAGAGUACUUACCUCUGGCCUCGGAUUCCGGCUCUUCUACGCAUGGUCGGCCACCAAGUGUGAUGGUGGUUCGGCGGUGUCUCCAAGUGCCCUAACAAUAGAGAUUUGCUUUGCUAUUAUGGCAGAUUCCCAUUAUAUUUUUUUUCUUUAAUUUUAAUUGCAAAGUGAAACAGAGCCAUGUUGGGGGGGGGGGUGAGAUCCGCGCGUCAACCCAUUUUGCAACCCGGAUCCGCGCCCUUUCGCUUCGAAUGGUCAAAUUGCGCGAUUGGUCCUUCG